CUUUAUCUCUCGCUCUUCUUCCUUAUUAAGUCUAACCUAACUGCGCCUCUCUCUUUCUUCUUCUUCCUCUUCUUCUCUUAUACUCGAUUAUGAGCGAAUAUUUGGCAGAUUUUCCCCAAAAGUAGUUUCUUUAUUUCAUUUGUUUGUUUUCCAAUCGUAUUAUUCAGUCAUACAAAAAUUGAAGAGAGAAUUGUUGAGUUAUCUUCCUCUUCAGAGUUUAUAUGACUGAAUUUUACCAAAACCUAACCCCGAAUUCCUCAAAUCACACACACAAUUGUGCCUGUUUUAUUAUCUUCUCAACCCAUAGUUGUUCAGAUUUAGCCGUAUAAGGAACCCAAUUUUAAUUUUACCAUCUGAAACCCUACUUUCAUUUUGAUAUUUCCUUAUUAAAGUAGAAGGUGUUUAUUGGUAAUUGAUGGUGUCAUGACUCUUACAAGGUUUCAUUUGGUAUUAGCAUUAUCGAUACCUUGAUUUAGGUAUAAUGGCUGUUUAUGGAAGUGGAUGGUCUAGGACUCUAGUGCUCAUGCAACUUUCUAUUUGUGGUGUGGUGGUGUUUCUGGUACAACAGGUAUUAGCGGACCCGGUCUUGUUAUACAUUUAUCUCAUGUCAUCAUUUCUGUUCUGAUGCAUCCUGAAAAUCCUGCGGAGCUUGGUGGGAAGAUGAUGUCUAUGGCUCUCUCAGGAAACUGGUCCCUGAUGGAGUCAACAGAGUAACAUGAGCGAUGGUCCGGAGGCUGCUAUGUAAUCGAAUCAGUUGAAGCUGGCUCCGAUCAGAAAUGACGUGACUUGAAUCACUUCCUGGAGGACUACCGGUGCAGAUGUUGUAUGAGUAUUUUCUUGAGGUGUUGGCUUCCUUGUUGGCUGCUUAAUGCUCCAUUUAUGUGGCUAUGCUUUCUACAGUGAUAUGCGCAACAGGAAAUGAGAAGUUUAACAACUAUUGGGAAGCAGAACUAUCCCAAGAGAAUGUUCAGGAAUCUGCACCAUGGACAAGGUAUGAGAUUUCCCAAUUGUCGGCAGGUGAACUUGCACACACAUUGCAUACAUAUGUGAGAACCACAUAGAAAUGUGAUGUCAAUGAGAUAUAUACAAGUUUUGAAAUGUGGAUGACACAUAGACAUAAGUGUUGUGCAUAUGUGUUUGUUACAUAAAAACCGGAUACUGGGAUCCAGCAGCACCCAUUUGGUCUUUGCUUUCUGAGUUACAAGUGUUGAUAGAGCAAAGUUGCAAAAUAAUGAAGAUUAUGAUUGCGUGAUUGAUGGAUGUAAGUGCGAUGUUAUGCGAGAGAGAUGGAGUACUUGGAGAUGUUUCAAGUGAUAACAUGAUUAAGUGGUCAAAAGCUUAUGUAACUCGAAGAGCGGCCAAAUUAGAGUGGCAGGGCAACAGUAGACUGAAUUCAGCCUUAAUGUUCGAUAUGUAAGGUAUUAGAGUGGCAGGGUGACGGUAGACUGAACUCGGUUUUAAAGUUCGAUAUGUAAGGUUGCUAGUAUUUAUCUUUCCAUUUGUAUCCAGAGAUUCAAUUUCUUUGAAAAAAAUGAUUAAUAAAGUUAAUUUUAGAUUCA